UCGAUUAGUUUGAUCCUGGCUCAGGACGAACGCUGGCGGCGUGCUUAACACAUGCAAGUCGAGCGGUAAGGCCUCUUCAGGGGUACACGAGCGGCGAACGGGUGAGUAACACGUGGGCGACCUGCCCUCAGCUCUGGGAUAAGCCUGGGAAACUGGGUCUAAUACCGGAUAUGACUUCGCAUCGCAUGGUGUGUUGUGGAAAGUUUUUCGGCUGGGGAUGGGCCCGCGGCCUAUCAGCUUGUUGGUGGGGUGAUGGCCUACCAAGGCGACGACGGGUAGCCGGCCUGAGAGGGCGACCGGCCACACUGGGACUGAGGCACGGCCCAGACUCCUACGGGAGGCAGCAGUGGGGAAUAUUGCGCAAUGGGCGGAAGCCUGACGCAGCGACGCCGCGUGGGGGAUGACGGCCUUCGGGUUGUAAACCUCUUUCGACCUUGACGAAGCGAGAGUGACGGUAGAGGUAGAAGAAGCACCGGCCAACUACGUGCCAGCAGCCGCGGUAAUACGUAGGGUGCGAGCGUUGUCCGGAAUUAUUGGGCGUAAAGAGCUCGUAGGCGGUCUGUCGCGUCGGUCGUGAAAACCUGCAGCUUAACUGUGGGCUUGCGGUCGAUACGGGCAUGACUGGAGUUCGGCAGGGGAGACUGGAAUUCCUGGUGUAGCGGUGAAAUGCGCAGAUAUCAGGAGGAACACCGGUGGCGAAGGCGGGUCUCUGGGCCGAUACUGACGCUGAGGAGCGAAAGCGUGGGGAGCGAACAGGAUUAGA
rnacentral:rRNA from 1 species